AGAGAGAGUCACACUUAGUAUCCGGUUGCCCUGGGGUGCUAGAGUCCUCAGAGAGUCACUGCUGACCUUAUUCACCAGCUGUGGCCCUCAUGGCAUAGCCAGUCACCAGGUUAGUGACAUGU
ensembl:snoRNA